rnacentral:rRNA from 1 species
UGAGUAACACGUGGGUAACCUGCCUGUAAGACUGGGAUAACUCCGGGAAACCGGAGCUAAUACCGGAUAGUUCCUUGAACCGCAUGGUUCAAGGAUGAAAGACGGUUUCGGCUGUCACUUACAGAUGGACCCGCGGCGCAUUAGCUAGUUGGUGAGGUAACGGCUCACCAAGGCGACGAUGCGUAGCCGACCUGAGAGGGUGAUCGGCCACACUGGGACUGAGACACGGCCCAGACUCCUACGGGAGGCAGCAGUAGGGAAUCUUCCGCAAUGGACGAAAGUCUGACGGAGCAACGCCGCGUGAGUGAUGAAGGUUUUCGGAUCGUAAAGCUCUGUUGUUAGGGAAGAACAAGUGCAAGAGUAACUGCUUGCACCUUGACGGUACCUAACCAGAAAGCCACGGCUAACUACGUGCCAGCAGCCGCGGUAAUACGUAGGUGGCAAGCGUUGUCCGGAAUUAUUGGGCGUAAAGGGCUCGCAGGCGGUUUCUUAAGUCUGAUGUGAAAGCCCCCGGCUCAACCGGGGAGGGUCAUUGGAAACUGGGAAACUUGAGUGCAGAAGAGGAGAGUGGAAUUCCACGUGUAGCGGUGAAAUGCGUAGAGAUGUGGAGGAACACCAGUGGCGAAAGGCGACUCUCUGGUCUGUAACUGACGCUGAGGAGCGAAAGCGUGGGGAGCGAACAGGAUUAGAUACCCUGGUAGUCCACGCCGUAAACGAUGAGUGCUAAGUGUUAGGGGGUUUCCGCCCCUUUAGUGCUGCAGCUAAACGCAUUAAGCACUCCGCCUGGGGGAGUACGGUCGCAAGACUGAAACUCAAAG